rfam:Ictidomys tridecemlineatus contig102258, whole genome shotgun sequence.
GGGGUUGUGGCUCAGUGGUAGAGCGUUCACCUAGUAUGUGCAAGGCACUGGGUUCAAUCCUCAGCAUCACAU